rnacentral:lncRNA from 1 species
UGUAUCCAUAUAUCUUCUUUCAGGUUUACGCUGCAGAAAAAAUCUAUAUAUCUAGUGGACCGUUUCAUACCAGUUGUUUUUCUUGUUAUUGUUGCAAUAAGUUGUUGGAUGUUAGGCAUGUCUAUGAGCAUAAAGGCGAAAUAUAUUGUAAAAAUUGUUAUAACAGUUUUACGGGCAAUCAAUAUUAUGGAUAUGGAUCAUGACAAUAUUGUUAAUCUGUACAAAAUAAAAAAUAAAGCUGUUUUAAAAGUAAA